rnacentral:rRNA from 1 species
UACGAAGGGGGCUAGCGUUGCUCGGAAUCACUGGGCGUAAAGGGUGCGUAGGCGGGUUUUUAAGUCAGGGGUGAAAUCCUGGAGCUCAACUCCAGAACUGCCUUUGAUACUGAGAAUCUUGAGUACGGGAGAGGUGAGUGGAACUGCGAGUGUAGAGGUGAAAUUCGUAGAUAUUCGCAAGAACAUCUGUGGCGAAGGCGGCCAUCUGGACCAGCACUGACACUGAGGCACGAAAGCGUGGGGAGCAAACAGG